rnacentral:piRNA from 1 species
UGCACAUGGAGGACUCUCUUCAGCGUGA